CUACGGGUCGCUCCAGUGAGGAAUUUUGCGCAAUGGGGGCAACCCUGACGCAGCAACGCCGCGUGCGCGAUGAAGGCCUUCGGGUUGUAAAGCGCUUUUACGAGGGAAGAGAAAGGACGGUACCUCGUGAAUAAGGAUCGGCUAACUACGUGCCAGCAGCCGCGGUAACACGUAGGAUUCGAACGUUAUCCGGAUUUACUGGGCGUAAAGGGUGCGUAGGCGGACAUUAAGGUCAGAUGUGAAAUCCCAGGGCUCAACCCUGGAAUUGCAUUUGAAACCGGAUGUCUAGAGUGUGACAGAGGAUGAUGGAAUUUCUAGUGUAGCAGUGAAAUGCGUAGAUAUUAGAAGGAACACCAGAGGCGAAGGCGAUCAUCUGGGUCAUUACUGACGCUGAGGCACGAAAGUGUGGGUAGCAAACAGGAUUAGAUACCCGCGUAGUC
rnacentral:rRNA from 1 species